AUUCUUGGUCAUUUAGAGGAAGUAAAAGUCGUAACAAGGUCUCCGUAGGUGAACCUGCGGAGGGAUCAUUACACAAAUAUGAAGGCGGGCUGGAACCUCUCGGGGUUACAGCCUUGCUGAAUUAUUCACCCUUGUCUUUUGCGUACUUCUUGUUUCCUUGGUGGGUUCGCCCACCACUAGGACAAACAUAAACCUUUUGUAAUUGCAAUCAGCGUCAGUAACAAAUUAAUAAUUACAACUUUCAACAACGGAUCUCUUGGUUCUGGCAUCGAUGAAGAACGCAGCGAAAUGCGAUAAGUAGUGUGAAUUGCAGAAUUCAGUGAAUCAUCGAAUCUUUGAACGCACAUUGCGCCCUUUGGUAUUCCAAAGGGCAUGCCUGUUCGAGCGUCAUUUGUACCCUCAAGCUUUGCUUGGUGUUGGGCGUCUUGUCUCUAGCUUUGCUGGAGACUCGCCUUAAAGUAAUUGGCAGCCGGCCUACUGGUUUCGGAGCGCAGCACAAGUCGCACUCUCUAUCAGCAAAGGUCUAGCAUCCAUUAAGCCUUUUUUUCAACUUUUGACCUCGGAUCAGGUAGGGAUACCCGCUGAACUUAAGCAUAUCAAUAAGCGGAGG
rnacentral:rRNA from 1 species